UACGAAGGGGGCUAGCGUUGCUCGGAAUCACUGGGCGUAAAGGGUGCGUAGGCGGGUCUUUAAGUCAGGGGUGAAAUCCUGGAGCUCAACUCCAGAACUGCCUUUGAUACUGAGGAUCUUGAGUCCGGGAGAGGUGAGUGGAACUGCGAGUGUAGAGGUGAAAUUCGUAGAUAUUCGCAAGAACACCAGUGGCGAAGGCGGCUCACUGGCUCGAUACUGACGCUGAGGUGCGAAAGCGUGGGGAGCAAACAGG
rnacentral:rRNA from 1 species